CGCGUGGUGUCUGGCUAAAGUAGACCGGAUAGCGACGCGGCCUUACGAAGAGGU
rfam:Sodalis praecaptivus strain HS1, complete genome.